rnacentral:rRNA from 1 species
UACGAAGGGGGCUAGCGUUGCUCGGAAUCACUGGGCGUAAAGGGUGCGUAGGCGGGUCUUUAAGUCAGGGGUGAAAUCCUGGAGCUCAACUCCAGAACUGCCUUUGAUACUGAGGAUCUUGAGUAUGGGAGAGGUGAGUGGAACUGCGAGUGUAGAGGUGAAAUUCGUAGAUAUUCGCAAAGAACACCAGUGGCGAAGGCGGCUCACUGGCCCAUAACUGACGCUGAGGCACGAAAGCGUGGGGAGCAAACAGG